ACGACAUCGUCACCAAACUGGACAAAGCAGAGAUCAGGACCAACUGGGUCCCACCUGAAGGACAGGCGUCUGUGUCGGACUCCAUCGUCACAGACGGGACAAAGCAGUGAUCAAAACCAACUAUGGGUUCCAACCUGCUAACAUGGAAAUGGCCCAAAGCUCACUUUGUCUGAUGUCCAUCUACAAAGGACUAACAGUAUUGGAUAAUCAUUUAAUUACUACUUUUAUUGUGCACAUAUUUUUUCUCAGCUUUUUACCAGGCUAGUAUUGUGGCUUUAAGGAUGGCAAUGUUGAUCCAAACUGAAAUGAUUAAAAGUGUUACAGUACUGCAGUAUUAUAUGGUUCAUCGUUCCCAGACUGAAUCCUAAUAACAUUGGUGAAGUGCCACCAAGACGUUCAUGUUUGUGGCUUUGGAGACGAUCUCAACAACAUGUUCCCCUCAGGAGGAUUUGUAAUAACUUUACAAGUAAUACCUUUAAUAAUAAAUAUGUUUUCAUCUAGUGCAGAGGUGCAGGGGGGGUCCAAACAUUUUCAAGUGACGCUCUGAGAGUGGAAAUGAAAAAGUAUUAAAUUAGUCAUUACAUUAGUUAUUAAAAUGAAAUCACAUAGAAUAGCCUAAAUGUGUGGGAUGUGAAAGAGAGUUCAGACAGAUAUAGAGAAAUACUUUAAGGGGUGUCAGAAAAAUACGCUGAUUUAAUCACAAACAAUCACAUAUUUCAAUAUUUAGACACGCACAAUAGUGAAGCUUUAAAUUGAAAUAACUAAAUAUCUGUCAAAUUCUACUAACUAACCAACUUUAAUUCUGCCCAGAUCUUUGGUUUAUGUAUAUGUAAUGUGAUUCACAUAAACCUUUAACCUGUACUUUGUGUUGAUUGCUAAUAAGCACGGUAAACAUCAUACAUUCAUUAAACAUAAGCAUGUCAGCAAUGUCAUUGAGUUUUUAAUUUUUUAACUUCGCACAUGAGGACUAAAGGAGCUCACACACUGUUGGAGGUUAAAAAAGGCAACACUUAUGUACUUAUCAAAAGGUGGUCACUUAAUUUUGUGUUUCAGUAACUUUCCACUAGAGGGCAACAACAGCUGUGCACUCAAUGAGUCCUCUUUGUCAAGAGAAACAAGUUACUAAAGUCUAAACACAACAUUUUAUUCUAAUCUUCAGCUGGUCAUUUUUUCCAUCUGUUCAAGCAGGGUUGUUAUCUGACUAUGUUAUUACAUUGUUUCUCACAAAAAGAAGCACAUUCAGUCGAAAAUGUGAAUCUAGUAAUGAAAAUAAUGUGCUAUAUGAAUGGUUGAUAUCCAACUUUCAAUUAAAAAGCAACAUUCUAAUGAGCAACAAAUAGCAGAUGUUGGAAAUAAUAACAAGUUCCAGCCAAAUGUUGUGUAAGAUGUGAUUAUCAGUAAUAACAUUAAAAACAUUUUGUUGUUUUUUAA